rnacentral:rRNA from 1 species
AUCUAUGGCCAUGCUACCCUGAACAAGCCCAACCUCAUCUGAUCUUGGAAGCUAAGCAGGGUCGAGCCUGGUUAGUACUUGGAUGGGAGACCACCUAGGAAGACCAGGAGUGCUGUAGGCA